CGGAGGGUGCAAGCGUUAUCCGGAUUCACUGGGUUUAAAGGGUGUGUAGGCGGGUAUUUAAGUCAGUGGUGAAAUCUCCGAGCUCAACUCGGAAACUGCCAUUGAUACUAUUUAUCUUGAAUAUUGUUGAGGUAGGCGGAAUAUGUCAUGUAGCGGUGAAAUGCUUAGACAUGACAUAGAACACCGAUUGCGAAGGCAGCUUGCUAAACAAUUAUUGACGCUGAGGCACGAAAGCGUGGGGAUCAAACAGGAUUAGAUACCCUGGUAGUCCACGCCCUAAACGAUGAUUACUGGACAUUUGCGAUAUACAGUGAGUGUCUGAGCGAAAGCAUUAAGUAAUCCACCUGGGAAGUACGUCCGCAAGGAUG
rnacentral:rRNA from 1 species